AUUGAACGCUGGCGGCAGGCCUAAUACAUGCAAGUCGAGCGAGCGGCGCACGGGGGCGUAAUGUCUGGGAAACUGUCUGUGGGCGGGGGAUAACACCUGGAAACGGUAGAUAAAACAGCACACCCUCACAUGUGCCCAGAUGGGAUUAUCUAGACGGGGGGGUAAUGGCUCACCUAGGCGACGAUCUCGAGCUGGUCUGAGAGGAUGAUCAGCCACACUGGAACUGAGACACGGUCCAGACUCCUAAGGGAGGCAGCAGUGGGGAAUAUUGCACAAUGGGCGCAAGCCUGAUGCAGCCAUGCCGCGUGUAUGAAGAAGGCCUUCGGGUUGUAAAGUACUGUCAGCGGGGAGGCGUUACCCACAGAGGAAGCACCGGCUAACUCCGUGCCAGCAGCCGCGGUAAUUC
rnacentral:rRNA from 1 species